UGUCUGGCGGCAAUAGCGCGGUGGUCCCACCUGACCCCAUGCCGAACUCAGAAGUGAAACGCCGUAGCGCCGAUGGUAGUGUGGGGUCUCCCCAUGUGAGAGUAGGGAACUGCCAGACAU
rnacentral:rRNA from 1 species